CCGGCAGGGCGGACCAUCGCUGCGGAAGACGUCAAAAUCGACCGUGGAGGAAAGUCCGGACUCAACAGGGCAGGAUGCUGGCUAACGGCCAGGCGGGGCAACCCGACGGAAAGUGCAACAGAAAGCAAACCGCCAACCCGCGAAGGCUGCAAAGUCGCGCGGCGGCAAGGAUGAAACGGUGUGGUAAGAGCACACCAGCGGCUUGGCGACAAGCCGGCUCGGUAAACCCCAUCCUGAGCAAGACCAAAUAGGAGGACACGGCGCGGGUCAAACCGCUCCGGCCGCUGGCCCGGCGGGUCCUCGGGUAGGUCGCUUGAGGACGCCAGCAAUGGCGAUCCCAGAUGAAUGAUGGUCUCCCGUGGCGGCGGAAGUCGUCCCGGUAGACAGAAUCCGGCUUACAGCCCCGCCACCGGCAAU
rnacentral:RNase_P_RNA from 1 species